AUGGCUGACCAAGCUGAGAUUGAACGUGUUUUCAAACGAUUCGACGUCAACGGCGAUGGCAAGAUCUCUUUGGCAGAGUUUGCUGAUGCUCUCAAAGUGCUAGGGCUAACCUCACAGGAUGAAGUUCAGCGUAGAAUGUCUGAGAUUGAUAAAGAUGGUGAUGGCUUUAUUACACUUGAUGAGUUGGCUGAAUUUCAACGUUCUCAUCCUAACUUGAUGGUUGAUAUCAUGAAGAAACUCUAA